rnacentral:rRNA from 1 species
CAGCCGCCGCGGUAAUGCGUAGGUGGCAAGCGUUGUCCGGAAUUAUUGGGCGUAAAGCGCGCGCAGGCGGAUCAGUUAGUCUGUCUUAAAAGUUCGGGGCUUAACCCCGUGAUGGGAUGGAAACUGCUGAUCUAGAGUAUCGGAGAGGAAAGUGGAAUUCCUAGUGUAGCGGUGAAAUGCGUAGAUAUUAGGAAGAACACCAGUGGCGAAGGCGGCUUUCUGGACGAAAACUGACGCUGAGGCGCGAAAGCCAGGGGAGCGAACGGGAUUAGAUACCCGCGUAGUCCCUGUCUCUUAUACA